GGGUUAUUCUGUCUGAAUAAUCUGGUAUUAUUAUCUGUGUGGUCACAGCAGCACAGGAUUCUGGGGGGCUCACAGGUGUCCAGGCACUGCAAAGAAGUGUCACUAUAACCAGAUACACAAACAUCAAGGCCCAGCCUUCAAGACCCUGUGGAGGUCCCCUAGACCUCCUCCCUCUGCAAGAGAAGCCGGUGCCUGAAGCUCUGGACCUUCCUACUUGUCAUCCAAAGUGGGAUUUCCAGCCUUGUGAGGAGGGUGGGCAGCUCGUGUCCAGCACAGAGACCAUGUGGGCAGAUGCUUUCUUCAGAAGAAAAUAAUUUGGAGAAUGUUGAGGAAGAGAGGGAAAGUGCAGGAGAAACGGAGAGCUGGAUUCUCAUCUAACGGAGGACCUGCAUCUGCUUCUCUGUUGGAUGUAGCAGGUAGUACAAGAAAACCCCCAUAACACUUUAUGUCUGUAGUGAAGCAAUGCACCAAAAGACAUGCUUUAAUGCUUCAAAUUCAGCACCCCUGUGAACUCCAAUCUCACAGCUGCUCC
rnacentral:lncRNA from 1 species